rnacentral:rRNA from 1 species
UACGUAGGGGGCAAGCGUUGUCCGGAAUCAUUGGGCGUAAAGAGCGCGUAGGCGGCCCAGUAAGUCCGCUCUGAAAGUCAGGGGCUCAACCCCUGGAUGCGGGUGGAUACUGCUGGGCUAGAGUCCGGAAGAGGUGAGUGGAAUUCCUGGUGUAGCGGUGAAAUGCGCAGAUAUCAGGAGGAACACCAAUGGCGAAGGCAGCUCGCUGGAACGGUACUGACGCUGAGGCGCGAAAGCGUGGGGAGCGAACAGG